CAGCCGCGGUAUUCCAGCUCCAAUAGCGUAUAUUAAAGUUGUUGCAGUUAAAAAGCUCGUAGUUGAAUUUCGGGAUCAAUGUUUCGGUCAUGCCGUUGGUAUGUACUGAUAUUAUUGGUUUCUCACCUUCUAAAGAACCGUAAUGCCAUUAAUUUGGUGUCACGGGGAAUUAGGACUGUUACCUUGAAAAAAUUAGAGUGUUUAAAGCAGGCUCACGCUUGAAUACAUUAGCAUGGAAUAAUGAAAUAGGACAUCCGAUUCUAUUUUGUUGGUUUCUAGGAUCGAUGUAAUGAUUAAUAGGGAUAGUUGGGGGCAUUAGUAUUCAAUUGUCAGAGGUGAAAUUCUUGGAUUUAUUGAAGACUAACUACUGCGAAAGCAUUUGCCAAGGAUGUUUUCAUUAAUCAAGAACGAAAGUUAGGGGAUCGAAGACGAUCAGAUACCGUCGUAGUCUUAACCAUAAACUAUGCCGACUAGGGAUCGGAUGAUGUUAAUUUUUUAAUGACUCAUUCGGCGCCUUACG
rnacentral:misc_RNA from 1 species